UACCAGCACCCCGAGUGGUCGGGACGAUUAUUGGGCCUAAAGCAUCCGUAGCCGGUUUUACAAGUCCCCCGUUAAAUCCAGCUGCUUAACAGAUGGGCUGCGGAGGAUACUAUAAGACUAGGAGGCAGGAGAGGCAAGCGGUACUCAGUGGGUAGGGGUAAAAUCCUUUGAUCCAUUGAAGACCACCAGUGGCGAAGGCGGCUUGCCAGAACGCGCUCGACGGUGAGGGAUGAAAGCUGGGGGAGCAAACCGG
rnacentral:rRNA from 1 species